UGUACAUGUAGAGUCAUGUAAACUGACCAUGUUCAAGGAAGCAAAGAAAAGAGUGAUGGAACAGUUCCAGCAACUGAAGGAUUAUGUGAUUAAAACUUUGAUGAAAGAAAUGAGCAUAUCAAUGAAACUGGCACUGACUCAGUUUCCCACAGAUGUCACUUUCCCAGAUGUUGAAGAUGAACUCAAGAAAAUGAAGGGCAUUUGUAAAGCUUUGGAGUUAGAUGUAUUUCAAGAUUAAAAACAUU